rnacentral:rRNA from 1 species
AAACCAGCACCUCAAGUGGUCAGGAUGAUUAUUGGGCCUAAAGCAUCCGUAGCCGGCUCUGUAAGUUUUCGGUUAAAUCUGUACGCUCAACGUACAGGCUGCCGGUAAUACUGCAGAGCUAGGGAGUGGGAGAGGUAGACGGUACUCGGGAGGAAGUGGUAAAAUGCUUUGAUCUCUCGAUGACCACCUGUGGCGAAGGCGGUCUACCAGAACACGUCCGACGGUGAGGGAUGAAAGCUGGGGGAGCAAACCGGAUUAGAAACCCGGGUAGUCC